rnacentral:rRNA from 1 species
AUUGAACGCUGGCGGCAGGCCUAACACAUGCAAGUCGAGCGCGCGGCGGACGGGUGAGUGAUGUCUGGGGGACUGCCUGAUGGGGGGGGGUAACUCCUGGAAAAGGUAGCUCAUACCGCAUACCCUCUGAGGUGCCCCGAUGGGGUUAGCUCGUAGGUGGGGUAACGGCUCACCUCGGCGACGCUCCCUAGCUGGUCUGAGAGGAUGACCAGCCACACUGGAACUGAGACACGGUCCAGACUCCUACGGGAGGCAGCAGUGGGGAAUAUUGCACAAUGGGCGCAAGCCUGAUGCAGCCAUGCCGCGUGUGUGAAGAAGGCCUUCGGGUUGUAAAGCACUUUCAGCGGGGAGGCGUUACCCGCAGAAGAAGCACCGGCUAACUCCGUGCCAGCAGCCGCGGUAAUAC